AUCAUUUUAAAUGAGUAAGGUCACUUGUAGACUACGAGUUUGAUAGGUCGUAGGUGUAAGUGCAGUAAUGUAUUUAGCUGAACGAUACUAAUUGACCGAGGGCUUGAACUG
rnacentral:rRNA from 1 species